UAAAUACUCAAGUAAAUGGCGCAUCAAGUCUUCAUUGAUGAAGUAAGUACAGUUGAUGAAGUCGUCGGCACAAUGGGCAAAUGCGAGUCUCAAAUCAACGAAAGAAUGCAUAAAAAGUAAAACUCACAAAACCUCGCUACGGUAAAACCCAAGGUGGGAGAAAAACCCAUAGUCUAAGGAGAAAAGUGAGAAGUUGCAUUAAGUCAAAACUAUACAUCUUUUGGACGCAAGUAGAAGAGCUCUCAAGGGUAUGAUCAGCCCAGGAUGGGUGCCUCAUUAAAACCUAGUUAGGUAGCAAAAACCCAGUGGGAAAAAUGCUCCUAAUCGUAGGAAAAAAGAGUACAUUAAGAUCAAGUGAGUAUACUUUUGCAUACUCCCCCUGAGUUUGACAUAACUUCCAAAUGAGAAUUACAAGCAUUGCAUAUGAGUAGUUAGGCAUACCAAUUCCUCGGACAAGCUUCUGGAAGGUUGACUUCGGCAGUGACAUCGUGUAGAGGUUGGCAAGGUUGUCUGGGAUCAGUUUGCAUGACUUCAAUCUCCUGAUGGUUUGCUGAUGUAGAUGUAGGCGCAAUAUGUCUUGGCGUUGACUUCGUUGAUGUAUCAUGGCUU
rnacentral:lncRNA from 1 species